rnacentral:misc_RNA from 1 species
GAUGAAGAACGUAGCGAAAUGCGAUAAGUAAUGUGAAUUGCAGAAUUCAGUGAAUCAUCGAAUCUUUGAACGCACCUUGCGCCUUUUGGUAUUCCGAAAGGCACACCUGUUUGAGCGUCAUGAAUACCUCAAUCUCCAUCUUUUCUUCGGAUUGAUGGGUGACUUGGAUGUUGAGCCCUGCUGGUAUGCUAUAUCAGCUGGCUUUAAACUUAUUAGCCGGCUCUGUACUGGAUCGGUUUGACUCGACGUGAUAAUAUUAUCGUUGAGGAUGCAUGUCUCAUGCAGCCGGAAAGUAUCAAAGCAGCUUCUAGCUUGCCUUUAGUGCACGUUUACAUUUUAGACCUCAGAUCAGGUGGGACUACCCGCUGAACUUAAGCAUAUCAAUAAGCGGAGGA